GGGUUCGUGAAUUGGAGAAACAAUAAUUUCAAUGCCAAGGCUUCAAGAGAGAGAACAAUCCCCCAUGCCCCACUGUGGAGCAAGUGCAGCUAACCGGAAGGGACAGGUGAAACGAAGCAUGUAACAACGACGUCGUUUCAAUAGCUGGGUAUUUGGAGAACAGGUCCCACUGAAUAAUUUUCUCCUCCAGUUCCCAGAUUUCCAAACAAAUUCCAAACCCUAGUUCUGAUCCAACUCCCACAAAUCCAGUGAGCGUAUUAAUAUAAAGUGAUUGGAUAAGAUGCAACGCGUUCCGGCAACAAUAGAGGAACAAUUGAUUUUGAAAGCAAUUAGGGAGGAAAGCCCUUGGGAGAACCUUCCGAAACGGCUUCAAGCAACUAUAGCUUCCAAAGAAGAAUGGCACAGAAGGAUAAUUGAACAUUGCAUAAAGAAGAGGCUCCAAUGGAACUCUUGUUUUGCCCGUAAAGUAUGCAAAGAGAGUGAAUAUUAUGAAGAAAUGAUGCGUUAUUUGAGAAAGAACCUAGCACUGUUUCCUUAUCACCUUGCAGAGUAUGUUUGCCGUGUAAUGAGGGUAUCACCUUUCAGAUAUUACUGUGAUAUGAUAUUUGAGGUUAUGAAAAAUGAGCAACCUUAUGACAGCAUUCCAAAUUUCAGCGCUGCUGAUGCAUUGCGGCUUACAGGAAUAGGAAGAAAUGAAUUUAUUGAUAUCAUGAAUAAAUGCAGAUCUAAGAAAAUUAUGUGGAAGCUGAAUAAGUCAAUCGCUAAAGAACUAUUACCCACACAGCCUGUGGACUUUGCAAUUGAACCAUGGUGGGGAGUAUGUCUUGUCAACUUUACCUUGGAAGAAUUUAAGAAACUCUCAGAAGAAGAAAUGGCGACAAUAGAUAAAGUAUGUAAGGAAGAAGCAAACUCAUUUGUCCUUUUUGAUCCUGAUGUUGUAAAGGGUCUUUUCCGACGGGGAUUGAUCUACUUUGAUGUCCCUGUUUAUCCUGAUGACCGCUUUAAAGUGUCCAGGCUUGAAGGGUUUGUAUCCAACAGGGAGCAGUCAUAUGAAGAUCCUAUUGAGGAGUUACUAUAUGCUGUUUUUGUUGUUUCAAGUGAAAAUGCAACUGUUGCCGAAUUGGCUGCGACUUUACAGGCUGACCUACCCCAUCUGCAGGCUGCUGCAUCUUUUGCUUGUCGUUUGGGAUGGGCAGUUAAAGUAAUUGAUCCAUCGUCUAUUCUUGAAGAUUCAAUCAUACCUGGAUAUCCUAAGAUUGGUCUCAAUGAUGAAGAAGAUGGUUCUCAUGCUACUGCAGGCUCAGAAAACAUGUCCAUUGAUGGGAAUACUGUUCAUCAAGGCGAUAUUUCGAGGACAGAAAAUUAUAGACAAGCUUCUAAUCAUACACGUCUUGCUUUUGUUGUUGAUGCUAAUAUAACGUCUUAUCUUAUGAUGGGUUCUGUUUCACCAGGCUUGAAGUCGCAUGCUGUUACACUAUAUGAAGCGGGAAAAUUGGGUCAUGCUAGCAUUGCAGAUCUUUGCAAGGAUCUAAGUACGCUAGAGGGAACCAAAUUUGAAGGAGAAUUGCAGGAAUUUGCUAAUCAUGUAUUUAGUCUCAGAUGCGUGCUUGAAUGUCUGCACUCAGGAGGAGUUGCUACUGACAAGGGAGUAGAGGAAGCUUGUGAUAAUAUGGGUAUGGUAGCUUCAACAAGUGAUGAGGCUACUUCACUGAUAGCUGAUGUCAUGAUUACUGACAAAUCAGGUGACAUUGGUAUGAAUGAAUCUGAAUUGAAUAUUGAUGACUUUGCACGUGAACACGUUAGAAGUAAUGGUGAUGAGACAUUUUCCACCAAUUUAGGAGAGGAUGGUAAUUGCUCAAGUGAGGACUCUAAGUCAGAGCCUAAUUUCCAGAAUGAUGAGAAACUGAUAUCUGCUGAGGGGUCAGAUGUUGGAAAAGGAACUCGAAGGAGGAAAAGGGAAUAUCGUGUGGAUAUCCUCCGUUGUGAAAGCUUGGCUGCUCUUCCAUCAACAACUUUAGAUCGGUUGUUCCUACGUGACUAUGAUAUUCUUGUCUCUAUGGUUCCUCUUCCUUUUUCAUCAGUUCUGCCUGGACCAACAGGUCCUAUUCAUUUUGGUCCUCCCUCCUAUUCAUCUAUGACACCUUGGAUGAAAUUGGUAUUAUAUUCAACUGUGGCUUGUGGACCUCUAUCUGUUGUUCUGAUGAAGGGGCAAUGCUUACGUUUGCUUCCUGUUCCAUUGGCUGGUUGUGAGAAAGCGCUUAUUUGGUCUUGGGAUGGCUCUGCAAUUGGAGGACUGGGAAGCAAGUUUGAAGGAAACUUAGUUAAAGGAAGUAUACUUUUACAUUGUUUAAAUUCACUUCUAAAGUACUCAGCAGUGCUGGUGCAGCCCCUGAGCAGACAUGAUCUUGAUGAAUCUGGAAGAAUAGUUACUAUGGAUAUCCCAUUGCCCCUGAAGAACUGUGAUGGAUCAAUUGCUCGUCUAGGGAAGGAGUUGGGACUAAGUGCUGAGGAAUGUUUGAACUUGAACUCAUUGUUAAUUGAUUUGGCUAACAAAAUAGAGUUGUGGACAGUUGGUUAUGUACGCCUACUAAAACUUUUCAAAGAAAGAGAAUCAGAUCACUUUUUACCUGAUGAUGAAAAGUAUGAAUGGGUCCCAUUAAGUGUGGAAUUUGGGGUUCCCCUUUUUAGUCCAAAAUUGUGCAAUAAUAUUUGCAAACGGGUGGUUUCAUCACAAUUACUUCAAGCAGAUUCACUUUCUGAACAUCAUGAUGCAAUGCAAUGCUUAAGGAAAAGGUUGCGUGAUAUUUGUGCAGAGUACCAAGCUACAGGUCCUGCUGCAAAACUUCUUCAUCAAAAAGAGCAAUUGAAGGACUCAUCUCAACAACUUAUGAACUAUGCCAGCGGAAAGUGGAAUCCACUUUUGGACCCUUCGUCUCCCAUUGCUGGAGCCUUGAGUGACCAUCAGAGAUUAAAACUUGCUAAUCGACAGCGUAGUCGGACUGAAGUUUUAAGCUUCGAUGGUAGCAUUCUUAGAUCAUAUGCUCUAGCUCCUGUCUAUGAGGCUGCCACAAGGCCUGUUGAAGAAUCUCCUGCGGUGGGUACAAUAAAAGUUGAACCUGAUGAUGCUGACAGCAGAGAAGUAGUCCUUCCUGGUGUUUGUCUCCUUUUUGAUGGAUCUGAGUUGCAUCUGUUCGAUAUAGGUGCUUGCUUGCAGGCUCGCCCACCAGUCUCCUUAAUAGCAGAAGCCUCAGCAGCCUCUGCAUCUUCGGCAAUAAAAUAGUCUUCUUUGCUGCAGUCUUACAUGGUAAUAUAGAUAGAAGAGUUUGUCCCAAUACUUAAAAAUGGCAAUCAUCAUGAGCUUCAUGUCGCCUGUCACUGCUGCUUCUUUCAUUCUUCUGCUUCAUCUCUGAUAUUGGUUAUAUGCAUGAGCUAGGGCCGGUGUUUAAGCUUUGGGUUUAUGGCAUAGAAUGUUCAACCUUGUUGGGAUAGAUUGGGUUUCACCCUGUGCAGUGGUGAUGAUGACGAUUUCUUCCAAAGGCUUAUGGCAAGAAAGAAAUGCGAGGAUAUUUAAGAUGCUAAGAGGAUGCAGUUUGGGGCUUGUUCUACUCAUUUUCCUCCCUUUGAACCUUUAUUAGUGAAGCGGAACCCUCUUGAACCUUAUAUUUUUAGAGAGGUAUCUUGUGUACAGGUCAAAGAUGUUGGCUGGAAAAACCUCUCAAGUAUGGUCAUUGUCCAGUGAAAGAGUAGUCAAGUUGAACUUUGAUGGAUGCUCUUUGAGUACCUAGGGCAGUUUGAGAUUGGUGGAGUGAUUAGAGAUCAUCAAUGCUCAGUACUAAAAGCUUUGCUAUUGAUGUUCAGAUUUUAGCAAAGCAUUUGGGUUUGUCCAAUCUUGUAGUGGAGGGUGAUUCUACUUUUGCUACAAAGAGGGGAAGCUCCAUCUGUUGAGUUCUGGACUUAGCCAAUCAUGUGGAUGACUAUGUUGCUAAAAGAGUAGCAAAGCAUUUGAUAUCUUUUGUUGGAAAUUUUUGGCCUCCUUAAGUUGUAAUUAGCAUCUGUUCAAGUUUUGCUUCAGUUUUUGUAACAUCUUUUGGUAGUUCAGCUUGUGAGGCUCUUUGUAUAGGAGUUCCUUUGCUUAUCUUGGACGGAGUUAUAUAUUGUGAAAAUGAUGUAUUGGCCUUCUUUGUCUUUUUAGAAAAGAUCUGGAGUGUUUCUGAUUAAAA